rnacentral:lncRNA from 1 species
CCCAGGCAGGAAGGGCCGCGCAGCCCUUCUGGAGGCCGAGCUUUGGGAAGGAGGGACGUGGGCCCAGGGCUUCCUUCUGGACAUGGAGUUUCUGCCUGUGUGUUGCAGCGGCUGCUUCCUGGUUUGCUCCUCUCAGAGACUGUGGUUUGUUGAUACAUCUCUAUGCUGCCUAGCAAGAAGCAAAUUCGGCCUAUUUGUCCAGUAUUGGGGUUGCUAGCCCCUUCACAGCCAGAGGCACUCUGAUGCUGGUUUGGAGACGGACCCUCCUGCCAUCAGGCACACUCACUGAGCCCCUUGCUUUGGGUCAUCCUCAUCCUCUGUGAACAAGACAUUCUUAACCGUGGCCUCACUUCGGACCAGUUUAGGGAGAAUUCAGAAUUCAGUAGCCACUGUGGGAAAUGUUCAGCUUUAAGAACACUAGACUGAAGGUGACUCUGAGAAAGGACGCCAUCCACUCAACAGCUUCCUCUGGGUGGCAUUCUGGAGUCUCAAAGUGAAAUAACCGACUCUCACAUAGAAGGGUAGUAAAGGCCCAAAGCCUCACCAUCUGCUGGGAACUUCUGAAGCCGCCUGUCUCCUGCCAGCAGCUUCGUGACCACCACUCACUUCUCUCCUUUUUUGGUUUUCUCUUUUUCCCUCCUGCCUCACCAACACACUACCCUCCUCAGGGUAUCCCCCCAGCCCACCCCCUGUAAAGACACAGCACCUAAUGCAGUGCAUUCUUUGAAUGGGUGAAUACAAAGCCCUGGGGAUGAGCUGAGAUGUCCUAAACCUCAGGAAAACAGAGUCUACGGCAGGCCACAUUUGUCCCGUACUCACUGCCGCAGGCUUUGAGUUCUGAUUCAACGACCGGACUUCCUUCUUAGACCUUAGCAAGGGGAAAAAUGCUUCAAAGCCACAGGAAGGGAGAGCCCCCGUAGGACUGGAAUUCUCUGCUUACACAUGAUUAACGGGGGUGGGGUUAGAAGAUGUGAAAUACAGGAAUGUUCUUUAUGUUCCCUAAAGUAUGAAAACUGGACAAAAUUCAAGGUUGUAAGCAAAUAAAGGCAAAUCAAGAAAAACUUUUAA